GGGCCAUAGCUCAGUGGAAGAGCAUCUACUUUGUCUGCAGAAGCUCCCAGGUUCAAUCCCUGGCUGGUAUCU